CAUAAGAAUCAAAGUUGUCUCGACUUGUCGAGAUACCCCCUGAAGAUGAACCUGCGUCCCAUUAGCUAGUUGGUAAGGUAACGGCUUACCCAAGGCAACGAUGGGUAGCCGCCCUGAGGGGGUGUUCGGCCCCACUGGGACUGAGAUACGGCCCAGACUCCUACGGGAGGCAGCAGUGAGGAAUAUUGCGCAAUGGGCGAAAGCCUGACGCAGCAACGCCGCGUGGAUGAUGAAGCUCUAAGGAGUGUAAAGUCCUUUUAGAAGGGAAGAAUGACCUGAAUACGAAUAGGAUUAGGGAUNNACGUACCUCAGAAAAGCCCCGCAUCCCG
rnacentral:rRNA from 1 species